rnacentral:rRNA from 1 species
UACGAAGGGGGCUAGCGUUGCUCGGAAUCACUGGGCGUAAAGUGUGCGUAGGCGGGUCUUUAAGUCAGGGGUGAAAUCCUGGAGCUCAACUCCAGAACUGCCUUUGAUACUGGGGAUCUUGAGUCCGGGAGAGGUGAGUGGAACUGCGAGUGUAGAGGUGAAAUUCGUAGAUAUUCGCAAGAACACCAGUGGCGAAGGCGGCUCACUGGCCCGGUACUGACGCUGAGAUGCGAAAGCGUGGGGAGCAAACAGG